UACGGGGGGGCAAGCGUUGUUCGGAAUUACUGGGCGUAAAGGGCUCGUAGGCGGCCAUCUAAGUCAGACGUGAAAUCCCCCGGCUUAACCUGGGAACUGCGUCUGAUACUGGACGGCUUGAGUAUGGGAGAGGGAUGUAGAAUUCCAGGUGUAGCGGUGAAAUGCGUAGAUAUCUGGAGGAAUACCGGUGGCGAAGGCGGCAUCCUGGACCAUUACUGACGCUGAGGCGCGAAAGCUAGGGGAGCAAACAGG
rnacentral:rRNA from 1 species